rnacentral:rRNA from 1 species
GCUAAACGCGAAGAACCUUACCUGGUCUUGACAUGUCUGGAAUCCCGAAGAGAUUUGGGAGUGCCGCAAGGAACCAGAACACAGGUGCUGCAUGGCUGUCGUCAGCUCGUGUCGUGAGAUGUUGGGUUAAGUCCCGCAACGAGCGCAACCCUUGUCCUUAGUUGCCAUCAUUUAGUUGGAACUCUAAGGAGACCGCCGGUGACAAACCGGAGGAAGGUGGGGAUGACGUCAAGUCAUCAUGGCCUUUAUGACCAGGGCUACACACGUGCUACAAUGGCAGGUACAGAGGGAAGCCAACCAGCAAUGGGGAGCCAAUCCCAGAAAGCCGUUCGUAGUCCGGAUCGCAGUCUGCAACUCGACUGCGUGAAGUCGGAAUCGCUAGUAAUCGCAGAUCAGCAUUGCUGCGGUGAAUACGUUCCCGGGUCUUGUACACACCG